GGUUCAAUGGCGUAGUGGUUAUCGCAUCUGUCUUACAUUCCAAUGGUAGCACAGAAGGUCUCCGGUUCGAUCCCGGGUUGAAUCA
rnacentral:tRNA from 2 species